rnacentral:lncRNA from 1 species
UGCUUUGAAUAUUUAUACAAGCCCCUUUAUGCACAAUUUGGCGAUAGCAUAUGCCCGAGUAGUUUAGUCAGUCGAGUUUCAGGUUGUUAGUUAUUCAUUCGAUUUUGAAAAAGCAAUAAUGAUAUAUUCAACUAAAAAUCUGUUCCAAAGAAAAAAAAGUUAUGUACUAAUUUACAUAUGUCAGGAUAAUGAAGUUCUGUUUGCAAAGCACUUUCUUCCAUAUGUUUCUUUAUUUGCUUACUGUACUUUCCAACUUUUUGUUUGGAAAAUAGUAUACUUUGAGUUUGUUUUACUGCCUGGAGAAAGAAUGAGAGCCCUUUCUCACAGGGGCGUUCACGUGGACGACCGAACUGAGUCUUCUUCUUUUUUAUAUCUCCAAAUUCAAAUAUGGUUUGAUUUGAUAGAAUAUCAGUCUAACAUGUUGAGAUUGUGAGUCUACAAAAACAAUUACAGAUACUAUCAAUUCAUAGCUCCCCUCAUUUUUGUAAAUUAUUCUCACAUGAAAAAUACUGUUUGUUCCUCUCUUUUUUACUGCAAAACGCAAGGAGAAAGGACGAUAUGGUAGUCAAGUUCUUCCUGGAAAUCUUGCCUUGGUUGAUCUUGCGGGCAGGUAAUAGCUAUUCUUUUUGGUCUGUUGCUUUCUUUUCACUCUGUCAGCAAAAGUAAACUGCAAAACAUAAUAUUUUGAGCAGUGCGUGGGCUUCUGAACGAAUAAUUUUGGUCCGAAGCUCAGAGAAGCCAACAUUAAUCGGUCACUUUUAGCGUUAGCAAAUUGCAUUAACGCCAUCGGCAAGCAAAAUAAGAAAGGUCUAGCCCAUGUUCGAUAUCGUAAUAGACAUGUCAAGCGUACAUUCUACUGCCAGAACCAAUAUUAUCCAUUCUAGAUGUGUGAUAGUAGUUAUUUGCAGCAAAUUAACUUGAAUUCUGAAGGAUGGUCAGUAUCACCGGUACAAUAGUGUCAUUUUGUUCAGUUCCAUCCUGUGUUCUCAGUUAGUAUCUUUUUUCUUCCCAUAGUUUGUCAUCUAAAAUGAAUUUUUAGAGGAACCAGUAACUGCUUCCUGAUUUGACUUUGUCCUCUUUGUUGAUGAUCCUUUUCUUCCUAUGGUUAUGCAGGCCUUAGUCUCAGUUUGAUCUUGCCGUUCUGCGUCUCAAUGUUGAUGACUACCAUGAGGCACUGCACAGUUAAGCUCAUCUGGUAAUCAGCACCAACAAUUGCCUUAAAAGUCCGCAUUCUGCAUUGUAAUGCACUUUACUGGUUAGGUUCACAUUUUUGGAAUGCAGGACCACAGUGUGUUGGUUAGAUGUGCUCUCGCAUUGAUGGUCUAGCAAAUGGACGUCUCGUCGUGUGUUAGAUGGUGAUGCUUCCUCCUAGGUCCAUCGUCCCUUUUGUCGUGCCGUAUUGCUUGCGAUGCGAUGUUCUGUUACACCAACCCCAGAAAACUUUAAUGUGGUGCUUGUGAAAGACCAGCCGCUGUUGGUAUUAUGAUCAGCAUUGGCAUUCUAUUUUGUGUGGUGUUUGUUUAGCUCUUGGUUGCUAACGAUUUAUUGUCAGUGCCAUGGUAUGGUGCUUCUGAUGGAUUAACUACU